UACGUAGGUGGCAAGCGUUGUCCGGAUUUAUUGGGUUUAAAGGGUGCGUAGGCGGCUUUGUAAGUCAGUGGUGAAAUACUCCAGCUUAACUGGAGGGGUGCCAUUGAUACUGCGGAGCUUGAGUACAGAUGAGGUAGGCGGAAUUGACGGUGUAGCGGUGAAAUGCAUAGAUAUCGUCAAGAACACCGAUAGCGAAGGCAGCUUACUGGGCUGUAACUGACGCUGAUGCACGAAAGCCAGGGGAGCAAACGGG
rnacentral:rRNA from 1 species